rnacentral:rRNA from 1 species
AUUGAACGCUGGCGGCAGGCCUAACACAUGCAAGUCGAGCGGAGCGGCGGACGGGUGAGUAAUGCCUAGGAAUCUGCCUGGUCGUGGGGGAUAACGUCCGGAAACGGGCGCUAAUACCGCAUACUAUCAGAUGAGCCUCGGUCGGAUUAGCUAGGUGGGGGGGUAAAGGCCUACCAGGGCGACGAUCCGUAACUGGUCUGAGAGGAUGAUCAGUCAAACUGGAACGGAGACACGGUCCAGACUCCUACGUGAGGCAGCAGUGGGGAAUAUUGCACAAUGGGCGCAAGCCUGAUGCAGCCAUGCCGCGUGUAUGAAGAAGGCCUUCGGGUUGUAAAGUACUUUCAGCGGGGAGGCGUUACCCGCAGAAGAAGCACCGGCUAACUCCGUGCCAGCAGCCGCGGUAAUUC